rnacentral:rRNA from 1 species
AGCGAACGCUGGCGGCAGGCCUAACACAUGCAAGUCGAACGAACCUUUCGGGGUUAGUGGCGGACGGGUGAGUAACACGUGGGAACGUGCCUUUAGGUUCGGAAUAACUCAGGGAAACUUGUGCUAAUACCGAAUGUGCCCUUCGGGGGAAAGAUUUAUCGCCUUUAGAGCGGCCCGCGUCUGAUUAGCUAGUUGGUUGAGGUAAUGGCUCACCAAGGCGACGAUCAGUAGCUGGUCUGAGAGGAUGAUCAGCCACAUUGGGACUGAGACACGGCCCAAACUCCUACGGGAGGCAGCAGUGGGGAAUCUUGCGCAAUGGGCGAAAGCCUUACGCAGCCAUGCCGCGUGAAUGAUGAAGGUCUUAGGAUUGUAAAAUUCUUUCACCGGGGACGAUAAUGACGGUACCCGGAGAAGAAGCCCCGGCUAACUUCGUG